CAGGCCCUCGGCCAGUGAACGACGGUCUAGCAGAGGUCCCCCAGCCAGUGUGAACGACGGUCUAGCAGAGGUCCCCGGCCAGUGUGAACGACGGUCUAGCAGAGGUCCCCGGCCAGUGUGAACAACGGUCUAGCAGAGGUCCCCGGCCAGUGUGAACGACGAUCUAGCAGAGGUCCCCAGCCAGUGUGAACGACGGUCUAGCAGAGGUCCCCGGCCAGUGUGAACGACGGUCUAGCAGAGGUCUGGCAUCGCCUACCUGUGUCUACACAUACUCAAGUGGGGAGAAUGGCAGUUGGUGGCGGGUCUGGUGAAGGCGGUGGUCAGGGAGACGGAAGUGCCCUGUGGUCUAUUGUAUGGCUUAUUAUACUACUACUCGUUGGAUUCUGGAUAUCGGGCUUCUGCUCCUUCCUUUACAUAUUAUUCAACAUCUUCACUGCAUGCAUUGAAGGAAUGAAUCCAAUAUGUGAAAUUCUCCUGAAGGGCAUACAAUUUACUGGCUUUUGUGGGAAGUGCAUUUCUAAGGGCACACCACUCGGCGAGGCAUUCAAGUGAGUAGACACAAGCAAUACACACCUAAGAAAUAUCACCACAAUUUGAAAAAGUAAUUAUGAUUUUCCAUAGAUGUCUCUGAUAAUAAAGAUGAAGCCAGUAUUUAGUCCUGAUUAGGCAAUGUUGAUAUGCAUAACAAUAUACUGUACAGUAAAUCAAUUUGAUAUUUUCUUAUUGUAUUGUACUCAUUAAGCAUGCAUUCAACUGUACUCAUUAGGCCUAUUACAUGUAUUGUGUAUUAUAUAGGUUUAUUGCAUGCAUGCUAUUCAUUAGACCUGCAUAUACCCUACUGUACUCAUUAGGCAAAUGUCACAUUUCCUACUGGAUUCAUUAGGCCAAUUGCAUGUAUCAUAUCAUACUAUACUCAUUAGAUAUAUGCCAUGUAUCUUAUGUGGUACACUUCUUAGAUCUAUUGCAGGUAUCCUACUAUAUUCAUUAGGCCUCCUGCAGGUAUCUCACUGCUCACCAGGCAUACAGUAUGCAUUCUACUCAUUAAGCCUUCCAUUUUACCUAAUAUCCAACAAUAGGUAAAGUAUGGGUUUCUCUAAUCAUUCAGUGUAUGCUCUAAAUAUUCAACACUGCAUCUUGUUUAUAAAUUUAAUUUUCUUUAUCACACAAAAUAUGGGGUUCCCGCUUUACGAACAUUUGCCUUACGAACAUUCGUCCAUACAAACAUUCUCCCGUGUCCCCCUUUCAUGCAUAAGAUCCUUUUACUAAUUCGCUGGAGCAUCCCUUUGAAUUUCGCUGCAGCGUGAACGUUCGUGUGGCAUCAACAUGGUGGAGUACAAUAUUGUACAAAAUCAUCUGCAUGACCCACUCGGAGGCAGGGCGAGUAUCUACUAUUUAUUUAGUAUUUAUGCCUGUGGGUGGUUGUGUAAUUACCUAAGUGUAGUUACAGGAUGAGAGCUACACUCGUGUGUCCUGUCUUCCCAGCACUUGACGGUUUUGGCCUCCUCCACAUUCUCACCUAACUUGUUCUAACAUACCAUUCUGUUUGCGAAAGUUAAUUUUCUUAUAAUUCUUCAGAAACUUUGUUUAGUUAGUUUAAAUCAAGGACCUCUUGUUCUUGAAGUUCCAGGUCUCAGUAUUCUUCUGUAAUGUAAUAUUUACAUGUGUGUUAUUUGGUUGUUAAAUACACCGAGUUUAGUAAUUUUUAUAUUAAUUUUGUAGUCUUGGUCACAACAGUUGGUUGGUUGGCAGUGUAGUGAAGUGUCACAGAAGUUGAGACAAAGCCUGGAGUAGGACAGAGAGCUGAGUGAGAUCAGGGAUAGAGAGCUCAGAUGCAGGGUGAGAGUUGUACAGCUCGGUACUAUGAAUGCAGGCGGAGUCGAG
rnacentral:lncRNA from 1 species